rnacentral:rRNA from 1 species
CCUACGGGAGGCAGCAGUGAGGAAUAUUGGUCAAUGGGCGUUAGCCUGAACCAGCCAAGUCGCGUGAAGGAUGAAUGUCCUAUGGGUCGUAAACUUCUUUUAUAUGGGAAUAAAGUGUAGUACGUGUCCUGUUUUGUAUGUACCUUAUGAAUAAGGAUCGGCUAACUCCGUGCCAGCAGCCGCGGUAAUACGGAGGAUCCGAGCGUUAUCCGGAUUUAUUGGGUUUAAAGGGUGCGUAGGCGGCUUGUUAAGUCAGCGGUGAAAGUUUGCGGCUCAACCGUAAAAUUGCAGUUGAUACUGGGAGGCUGGAGUACGGUAGAGGCAGGCGGAAUGCGUGGUGUAGCGGUGAAAUGCUUAGAUAUCACGAAGAACCCCGAUUGCGAAGGCAGCCUGCCAAGCUAUGACUGACGCUGAUGCACGAAAGUGUGGGUAUCAAACAGGAUUAGAUACCCCUGUAGUC